UACAGAGGGGGCAAGCGUUGUUCGGAAUUACUGGGCGUAAAGGGUGCGUAGGCUGCGAGGUAAGUCUGGUGUGAAAUCCCGGGGCUCAACCCCGGAACUGCACUGGAUACUGCUUUGCUAGAGUACUGGAGAGGGAACUGGAAUUUACGGUGUAGCAGUGAAAUGCGUAGAUAUCGUAAGGAAGACCAGCGGCGAAGGCGAGUUCCUGGACAGUUACUGACGCUGAGGCACGAAGGCCAGGGGAGCAAACGGG
rnacentral:rRNA from 1 species